GGAGAGAUGGCUGAGUGGACUAAAGC
rnacentral:tRNA from 1 species